rnacentral:rRNA from 1 species
UACAGAGACUACAAGCGUUAUUCGGAUUCACUGGGCGUAAAGGGUGCGCAGGCGGUCGGGUGUGUCAGAUGUGAAAUCCCGAGGCUCAACCUCGGAACUGCGUCUGAAACUACUCGACUAGAGUACUGGAGAGGGUAACGGAAUUCACGGUGUAGCAGUGAAAUGCGUAGAUAUCGUGAGGAACACCAGAGGCGAAGGCGGUUACCUGGACAGUUACUGACGCUCAGGCACGAAAGCAUGGGGAGCAAAAGGG